UCUGAAUCUUAAUCGUUCAGAUCCAGCCUAUUAAGUGCGUUUGUCUUUUAGAUCUUAACCCUACUUAUUCAGAUCCAGCCCAUUAAGUCUAUUUGUUUUUUCUCUUUUAAAACCUCUUAAUAAGUCUGAAUGCAUCUGACCGAAACAGACCCACAACAAAGUCCUAAUGGCGCCCAAACUCUUAAAAACACGGUAAAUGUGAUUUUCCCAAUUAUUCCCGCAACAAAUUUCGCAACUAUUCACUCAACGAUAAGGCUAUAUUUUAGCAAAUUCCACGCUUUCUUCUUCAUCUUCCGUGCAUAAACUUUCACGCCUCUCUCUCUCACUCUCCAUUUAUCAUUGGCUAUCCAAUUCUUUUUCUCUUGAACAGCUAUGGAACAAUCUAGUGGAAAUUCAAGAGCAAGUUGGAAAAAUAUGGAUGUAGUAAAAACCUUUUUAGAAAGUCGUAUUCAAGAAAUAUCCUUAAACGGAAGACUUGGAAGUAGUUUAAAGGCAGAUUCAUGGAACAAAGUUAAACUAGUUUUGGAGACUACUCAUGGCUUUAGUGUCACACAAAAGCAUAUGAAGAAUCAUUAUGAUUAUCUAAAAGAAAAGUAUCAAGCUUGGUUGCCAAUAACCAAAAAGACCGGCAAUAUUUAUGACCCAGCAACCAAUACCAUUCUAAUGUCUAAUAGUGAGUGGGAUGAGUACAUAAAGGCUCAUCCAAAAGCAAAGGCAUUGAAGACUUCGCCUCUACCAUUCCCAGAUCUUUGUACAAAACCUUUUGAGGGUUCUACAUCAACAUGAAUUCAUGGUUGGAGUCCAAGCUGUACAUAUCCCCGCCCUGGUGUAUCUUCAAUAUCUACUACUAUAGAUGUAGAUACACUUGAUAACGUCGAAGAUCUAGUUGGUAAUAAGAAUGAUGGAGCUCCUACUGAUUAUCCAUCUCAGUCUUCAGUUCCAAUUGAAAAGAAACCUUUGGGAA